UCGGGGUGUUUGGGGUUUCCUUGUUGCGUCUAGGUGUGUCCACCAGGAGGCAUCAAGACUCUUUGUUUUACCUGGGAGAGCCUGUUGCGGCUCAGCUCACCUGAACCCAAUUACCUCAUCCUACCGGGAGUACAAGAGAAGAUGACCGCCAGAACCUCUUCGCUUGAGUGUUAGCCAGUUAUGGUACCCCUGAGCCUCCUAGAGAAUUUUCCUUCUCUGAGCCUUCCUCGUAGUUCGUCCUGAGUAAUUUGUUCGUUGUCUUUCCUGCCUUCAGGGUUUGUUUUUCUGUGACGCUCAAGAUCCUCCACAGACGAUCUCCCCUGGUGAUUUCUGGAAACAUCCUCCUCGCGACGCCGCGGGUCUUACCCGCUGGUUGCCCGAGUCCACUCUCACUUUCUCCGUCGAUCGCUAGUGGUCCUGGACUCCCUCCCCGCUGGUGGUCUUCGCUCUUCGGUCUCCUGGUGUUCCCGCUCUUACCUGUCCGUCCUCCCCCACGUCUGCCCACCUCCGUGCAGAUCCACUACAGCUGUAGCCUCUGCUUCCUGGAACACGGACUGUCAGCCUACGUAAGCCCCGACUCCUCAGCCGAACCCCUUCCCUGGAUUGGCCGUCUGCCUCACAAUGAGCCGACUGUUCCGUGAGUCCAUCCUGAGGUGUUCCUCCCCUCUAUUCCUCAUCAUCCACCCCUGUUAUAAUAAACAUCUUUAACUGAUUCUAUGACCUCCUGUAGUGUUCUGCAUGUGGGCUAAGACAAUUAACUCCACCAUGACAAAAUCCUUCUAUGGUGCGAGGCCACACACUCUUCUCGCCCUUGUACCAGAAAAUCCUCAAGAAUCUGAUGGUGAUCUGAGCGAUGAUGACCAAGUAGAAGAUCCUGAUUAUCAGCCCACACAAGCAGAUAAUACUGGAGACAGCUCUUUUGAAUCCCUGGAUGAAGAGGAGGCUCCCUCAAAAA